AGUGAACGCUGGCGGUAGGCCUAACACAUGCAAGUCGAACGGCAGCACAGUAAGAGCUUGCUCUUACGGGUGGCGAGUGGCGGACGGGUGAGGAAUACAUCGGAAUCUACUUUUUCGUGGGGGAUAACGUAGGGAAACUUACGCUAAUACCGCAUACGACCUACGGGUGAAAGCAGGGGAUCUUCGGACCUUGCGCGAUUGAAUGAGCCGAUGUCGGAUUAGCUAGUUGGCGGGGUAAAGGCCCACCAAGGCGACGAUCCGUAGCUGGUCUGAGAGGAUGAUCAGCCACACUGGAACUGAGACACGGUCCAGACUCCUACGGGAGGCAGCAGUGGGGAAUAUUGGACAAUGGGCGCAAGCCUGAUCCAGCCAUACCGCGUGGGUGAAGAAGGCCUUCGGGUUGUAAAGCCCUUUUGUUGGGAAAGAAAAGCAGCAGGUUAAUACCCCGCUGUCCUGACGGUACCCAAAGAAUAAACACCGGCUAACUUCGU
rnacentral:rRNA from 1 species